rnacentral:rRNA from 1 species
GGGUGCGUAACACGUAUGUAACCUACCUUGUUCAGGGGGAUAGCCUCUCGAAAGAGAGAUUAAGACCGCAUAAUAUAAUUGAAUGGCAUCAUUUAAUUAUCAAAUAUUUAUAGGAACAAGAUGGGCAUGCGGAACAUUAGCUAGUUGGUAAGGUAACGGCUUACCAAGGCUACGAUGUUUAGGGGAUCUGAGAGGAUUACCCCCCACACUGGUACUGAGACACGGACCAGACUCCUACGGGAGGCAGCAGUAAGGAAUAUUGGUCAAUGGACGGAAGUCUGAACCAGCCAUGCCGCGUGCAGGAAGACGGCCCUACGGGUUGUAAACUGCUUUUAUACUGGAAUAAACCUAGUUACGUGUAGCUAGCUGAAUGUACAGUAAGAAUAAGGAUCGGCUAACUCCGUGCCAGCAGCCGCGGUAAUACGGAGGAUCCAAGCGUUAUCCGGAUUUAUUGGGUUUAAAGGGUGCGUAGGUGGCCUGUUAAGUCAGGGGUGAAAGACGGUAGCUCAACUAUCGCA